rnacentral:rRNA from 1 species
CAGCCGCCGCGGGAAUACGAGGGGGGCAAGCGUUGUUCGGAAUUAUUGGGCGUAAAGGGCGCGUAGGCGGUUUGGCAAGUUUGGUGUGAAAUCUUCGGGCUCAACUCGAAGUCUGCAUCGAAAACUGCCGGGCUUGAGUAUGGGAGAGGUGAGUGGAAUUUCCGGUGUAGCGGUGAAAUGCGUAGAUAUCGGAAGGAACACCUGUGGCGAAAGCGGCUCACUGGACCAUUACUGACGCUGAGGCGCGAAAGCUAGGGGAGCAAACAGGAUUAGAUACCCCUGUAGUCCCUGUCUCUUAUAC